AUGCAGCCUGACCACUGUGGUUCCACGGCUGUCACGUGGCCAGACUUCUUGCUCCUUGAAUCGCCAUACGUGACGCAGUCAAACUGGAAUGGUUCCAGAUCUGUUACUUGUGCGGCCUUGCAGAUCUACAUCACCGUCACAUUUUCUCCACAGCCCCGGGAACGAUGCAUGAGACAAGAGAGAAAUGGGGAAGAAAAAGAGAAGAUGGUUGAAAGAAGGAUGUUGCCUUGCUGA